UACAGAGGUCUCAAGCGUUGUUCGGAUUCAUUGGGCGUAAAGGGUGCGUAGGUGGUGGGGUAAGUCGGAUGUGAAAUCCCGGGGCUCAACCCCGGAACUGCAUUCGAAACUGCCUUGCUCGAGUACUGGAGAGGAGACUGGAAUUUACGGUGUAGCAGUGAAAUGCGUAGAUAUCGUAAGGAAGACCAGUGGCGAAGGCGAGUCUCUGGACAGUUACUGACACUGAGGCACGAAGGCCAGGGGAGCAAACAGG
rnacentral:rRNA from 1 species